UUUUUUUUUUUUUUUUUUUUUUUUAAUGAGAAUCAUAUUAUUGCAUAAAUUAAAACAAAAAAUCCAAAAAGAUCCCACCAUUACCAAGGAUCCAUAUUAAAAUGGCAGGAUGGAACAAAGAAUUUGCAAUUGACAAAUUACAGGAAAAGCCCGAGAAACAGAAAACUUAUUUCUAUGUACAUAGCCAAGUCACACUUCUCACACCAAGACAAACAUUUUAUGCCCUCCAUAAACAGAGAAACAUUCAGCAGCUUGACUCGCAUUGAAUAACUGACUUUUACACUU
rnacentral:misc_RNA from 1 species